ACGGAAGGCAGCAGUGGGGGAUAUUGCACAAUGGGGGAAACCCUGAUGCAGCGACGCCGCGUGAACGAAGAAGUAUUUCGGUAUGUAAACUUCUAUCAGCAGGGAAGAUAAUGACGGUACCUGACUAAGAAGCCCCGGCUAACUACGUGCCAGCAGCCGCGGUAGUACGUAGGGGGCAAGCGUUAUCCGGAUUUACUGGGUGUAAAGGGAGCGUAGACGGAACGGCAAGUCUGAUGUGAAAGGCUGGGGCUCAACCCCGGGACUGCAUUGGAAACUGUCGGUCUUGAGUGCCGGAGGGGUAAGCGGAAUUCCUAGUGUAGCGGUGAAAUGCGUAGAUAUUAGGAGGAACACCAGUGGCGAAGGCGGCUUACUGGACGGUAACUGACGUUGAGGCUCGAAAGCGUGGGGAGCAAACAGGAUUAGAUACCCUGGUA
rnacentral:rRNA from 1 species